rnacentral:misc_RNA from 1 species
AGCAGCCGCGGUAAUUCCAGCUCCAAUAGCGUAUAUUAAAGUUGUUGCAGUUAAAAGCUCGUAGUUGAAUUUCGGGAUUGGCGCAUCGGUCGUGCCUUACGGGGUAUGAACUGGUGCAGUCAAUUUCUCACCUUCUGGAGAACCGCGAUGUCCUUAAUUGGGUGCCGCGGGGAACCAGGACCUUUACUUUGAAAAAUUAGAGUGUUUAAAGCAGGCAUUUUGCUUGAAUACAUUAGCAUGGAAUAAUAAAAUAGGACGGCAUGGUUCUAUUUUGUUGGUUUCUAGGACCACCGUAAUGAUUAAUAGGGAUAGUUGGGGGCAUUAGUAUUCAAUUGUCAGAGGUGAAAUUCUUGGAUUUAUUGAAGACUAACUACUGCGAAAGCAUUUGCCGAGGAUGUUUUCAUUAAUCAAGAACGAAAGUUAGGGAUCGAAGACGAUCAGAUACCGUCGUAGUCUUAACCAUAAACUAUAGCCGACUAGGAAUCAGACGAUUGUUAAUUUUUAAUGUACUUCGUUUGGC